UUGCCUGAUGAUGGAGAACUGUGGGUUGCCCAGGUGGAGGGAGCUCAAGUUUCUCAGGCUGGAAAAGGGGGAACUUUCCCCCAGGUCGCUGUAGGAAUUGCCUUGAAUGCGAAGGUGUUGGAGCGAAAAAAGGGGCCCAAACCACACUGGGGACAAGUGAGCCAGGCUAUUAUUUGACAAGUCCAAGAGCUCCAGUUUCCCCUGAGAGCCAAACGAGUCCUCGUCUAUGGAGCUGAUUUGGUUGGACUGCAGCAGCAGGGUUCUCAGGUUCACAGCCUUUUGCAGAUCAUGUGUUCGGAUCAGCUUUAUCCUGUUGUGGGCCAGGUUUAACACCGUGAUUUUGCCUGUGAGCCCCGGGGGAAUGAAGUCCAAACCCAUGAAAGAGCAGUUGCAUGACUGAGUGGCAUCG
rnacentral:lncRNA from 1 species